rnacentral:rRNA from 1 species
GACGUAGGGGGCGAGCGUUGUCCGGAAUUACUGGGCGUAAAGCGCCCGUAGGCGGCCCGUCGUGCUGGGCGUGAAAUCCCCGAGCUUACCUCGGGGGGGUCGUCCAGGACCGGCGGGCUCGGGUCGAGCAGAGGCGCGUGGAAUUCCCGGUGGAGCGGUGAAAUGCGUAGAGAUCGGGAGGAACACCAGUGGCGAAGGCGACGCGCUGGGCUUGGACCGACGCUGAGGGGCGAAAGCGUGGGGAGCGAACCGG